rnacentral:pre_miRNA from 1 species
AAAAAGGCAAACCCUGGGUUUCCGUGUCCAACUUUAACUGUCCGUCUUAUAUGUAAUUUUUUUUUCAUAAUUUUUUCAAAUAAGACGAAUGGUUAAACGUUGGACACGAAAACCAGGGUUUGUCUUUUU